UUUUACCAUGUUAAGUAUGAUUUUGUAUUCACCAUCAAUAUGUUGUGUCUUGUGAUGUUGUGUGAAACUUCGUCAUGUCUUGUUUGUGCUUAUCUCAAUGCCUAAAAAACCAUGUUUAAUAUUGUCAUCCAUACCUUGUAAUUUCCAUUGUAUUUAGCCAUAUUUUAUGCCUUAAUGUUAAUGCAUGUUCAACCUUGUCAUUUUGCAUGUGUGUGUGUUCAUCUACAUUCUAU
rnacentral:lncRNA from 1 species